rnacentral:rRNA from 1 species
UCCGUAGGUGAACCUGCGGAAGUGAUCAUUAU